GUGUCAGCAGCCGCGGUAAUACAGAGGAUGCAAGCGUUAUCCGGAAUCACUGGGCAUAAAGCGUCUGUAGGUUGCCUACCAAGUCUGCUGUUAAAGAUCAGGGCCUAACCCUGGGAAAGCAGUGGAAACUAGUAGGCUUGAGUGUGGUAGAGGUAGAGGGAAUUCCUGGUGUAGCGGUGAAAUGCGUAGAUAUUAGGAAGAACACCAAUGGCGAAAGCACUCUACUGGGCCAUAACUGACACUGAGAGACGACAGCUAGGGGAGCAAAUGGGAUUAGAUACCCCAGUAGUCCUAGCCGUAAACGAUGGAUACUAGGUGUUGCACGUAUUAACCCGUGCAGUAUCGUAGCUAAGGCGUUAAGUAUCCCGCCUGGGAAGUACGCUCGCAAGAGUGAAACUUAAAUGAAUUGACGGGG
rnacentral:rRNA from 1 species